CCUACGGGGUGCAGCAGUGGGGAAUAUUGGACAAUGGGCGAAAGCCUGAUCCAGCCAUGCCGCGUGUGUGAAGAAGGCCUUCGGGUUGUAAAGCACUUUCAGUGGGGAAGAAAGCCUUGGGGCUAAUACCCUCGAGGAAGGACAUCACCCACAGAAGAAGCACCGGCUAACUCCGUGCCAGCAGCCGCGGUAAUACGGAGGGUGCGAGCGUUAAUCGGAAUUUCUGGGCGUAAAGCGCGCGUAGGCGGUCUGAUAAGCCGGUUGUGAAAGCCCCGGGCUCAACCUGGGAACGGCAUCCGGAACUGUCAGGCUAGAGUGCAGGAGAGGAAGGUAGAAUUCCCGGUGUAGCGGUGAAAUGCGUAGAGAUCGGGAGGAAUACCAGUGGCGAAGGCGGCCUUCUGGACUGACACUGACGCUGAGGUGCGAAAGCGUGGGUAGCAAACAGGAUUAGAUACCCCGGGUAGUC
rnacentral:rRNA from 1 species